rnacentral:tRNA from 1 species
GGAAGAGUGGCAGAGCGGUUGAAUGCACCGGUCUUGAAAACCGGCGAUGGGAAACCAUCCGUGGGUUCGAAUCCCACCUCUUCCGCCA